ACAAGCUAUAUAUCUUCAGUUACUUCUUAACAGAGAAGAGAUACUGUCUCAUCCAGGAGCAGCCAUGAAGGGGAUUCUAAUAAUUUGCUGUGUUGGUGCUUUGAUUAUUAUGGUGAUAACCCCAGGAAAGACCAAGGCUCUCACAGAAGAGGAUGAGAGGCAGAGAGCCAUGAAGCGUGACAUUGAGCUGGGCUUGUUGGC